rnacentral:rRNA from 1 species
GACGAACCGUCCAAACGUUGUUCGGAAUUACUGGGCGUAAAGGGCUCGUAGGUGGCCAACUAAGUCAUACGUGAAAUCCCUCGGCUUAACCGGGGAACUGCGUCUGAUACUGGAUGGCUUGAGGUUGGGAGAGGGAUGCGGAAUUCCAGGUGUAGCGGUGAAAUGCGUAGAUAUCUGGAGGAACACCGGUGGCGAAGGCGGCAUCCUGGACCAAUUCUGACACUGAGGAGCGAAAGCCAGGGGAACAAACGGG